rnacentral:lncRNA from 1 species
UUAGCCGGGUGUGGUGACAUGCACCUGUAGUCCCAGCUACUCGGGAGGCUGAGGCGGGAGAAUCGCCUGAACCCAGGAAGCAGAGGUUACAGUGAGCCAAGAUCUUGCCACUGUACUCCAGCCUGGGCGACAGAGCGAGACUCUGUCUGAAAAAAAAAAAAAAUUAAAAAGAAAUGCUCCUCAAGUUGGAGAGGGCCCACUAGCAUCCUGAGAGGACUUGGAAGAACAACAGUCCAGGCUGGGCACCUGCUGGGUCUCUGUCCAAAGGCCAGCCCUCUCUUUGUGUCAGCCGCAGAUCCCUCACCUAGGGCAUGACUACUGGCUGCCAGCUCCCACUAACACCUGCUGCAGAUCCAGACUGAAGCCGGCCCCAGCGGCCCCAAAGCCCCUAGGAAGUGACCACCCCCCAUCCCUGGCACCCAGAUCCUGGCCCCUGCACUCACACACAAAACACAUACAGAUGCCUCUCUUUCAUCAUGUAUUUAUUCCUUUAUUUCUGGGAGCCGGGAGGAGUGACGGGAGCAAAUCAGGACCUGGCCGCCCCACGCUGAGCUUGCAGAUAUUGAGAGUUGGGUGACAGAUGGCUGUGUGGUUCAGGCUGCAGGCAGCUUGGGAAUUCAAAAUGGGGCUUAGAGAGGAGCUGGAGGGGGCCCUCGAGGUGGACGUAGUGAUGCAGUAGGGCAUGGCACUGCGAGGUUGCCCGGGUUCUAGUCCCAGCACCAUCACCGGGGAUGAGCCGUUUCAGAGUGUGGCACUCUGUCACACUCCAUUUCAUUGAGAGGCCACUGAGACAUUAUCAAUGGGUAAUGUACAGCACUUCCAUGGCAUAACUCAUUUAAUCUUCACAGCAUGAUGAUGAGGUAGGCAUAGUAUCAUUACCUCCAUUUUACAGAUGGGGAAACUGAGGCUCAGAGAAGGGAAUGACUUGCCCAAGACCACAUGGCUUCUCAGUGAUUGGCUCAGCUAGGAUCCCACCUUUGGUCCUUCAAGUCCACUUCCUCUGCUUUCCUCUUCCUGCACCCUGAGAGGAAAUGCUCUGAGUAUACCGAGGGUCCUCAGGAGACUCUCACAUCCAGCUCACAGUCACAGGCUGAGCAUUCCCUGUGCUGGGUUCUGUACCUCAUCAUGUUGGCAGCAGAGGCACGUGCCAGCUGCUCAAAAAACUGCUGUAACCUUGGUAGAUCCCUCUCCCCAUCCAUUUCUUCCUUGCCUUGGAAGUCCUGCUUGUUUGAUAAUUUUCUGACUGACUGCCAUGUUGUUGCCUUGUGACCUUGGGCAUGUCAUUUCACUCUGAGCCAUUUCUCAGUCAUGGAUGACAGCACUUAGCUGAUGAGAAGUUGAGAAGAUUCAGAAAGAGGCUAUGAGUGAAGGACCUUGUCUGUUUUGGUCAUGAAAGUGUUCCCAGGAAAUGCAAAUGGACACACAGUAGUUAUCUACUGAGCUAAUGAACAAUGUCCCUGGUGCAUAGUAAGUGCCCAAUAAAAUGCAGCUUUUUUCAUAUUAUCUAAUGUUUUAGGCCAUGCCUGCACCAACCCAUGCUUCUUUUUUUUUUUCUUUCUUUCUUUCUUUUUUUUUUUUUAAGACAGAGUCUCACUCUGUCACCCAGGCUGAAGUGCAAUGGCGAGAUCUCGGCUCACUGCAACCUCCGCCGCCCGGGUUCAAGCAAUUCUCCUGCCUCAGCCUGCUGAGUAGCUGGGAUUACAGGCACGUGCCCGGCUAAUUUUGUAUUUUUAGUAGAGACGGGGUUUCGCCGUGUUGGCCAGGCUGGUCUCGAACUCCUGACCUCAACUGAUCCACCCACCUCGGCCUCCCAAAGUGCUAGGAUUACAGGCAUGAGCCACCGUGCCCAGCCCAACCCAUGGUUCUUAAUGCUGCAGGUGGGUCCGGAGAAAGGCUUUUCUCUUUUAACCAUCUCCUUGAAUUUCAGAAGGUGGGACAACAUGUGCUGGAAAGCAGUUCUUAAGAGGACAUCUUUUCCCAAGCUCCUUAGCCUUAGCUGUCCUCUCCUGCCCUCACCAGGACUGCCCUCUCAGGGACCCAAGAGGAAGGGACAGCCUGGAAAGGAAGAAGGUCCCGGGCCAUCUGCGUCAUGGGGAUGGAGUCCCUUGGCGUGUGCCGGUGCAAAUACACUCCUGUAACGGGGCUCAUCUAGAAUCUCCUCUCGGAAUGAGGAGACCGCAAAUGUGGUUUUGAAUCUUCAUUGUCCACUUCAUUGCUGUGGUGUUGGGCAGGUCUCUGUCCCUCUCUGGGCCUCUGCACGAUGGAGGGGUAGGAGUUGAUGGUUCUGAAGGCUCUGCCAUCCUGGAAAAGAACUGAGACACUUCCCUCAUGUUCCUGGGUCCCAGAAACAGACAUCUGUUGGUAAAAUCUACUGGGCAUUUGCCCAGAGACAGGGAAAAGAAUGCCUGGGGGUCUGUAAUAGGAGCUGCCCCAAUUAGGGGCAGGGAGGCGGGCAUGUAAAAAAGGAAGCUUAAAGCUUUGUUUUCAGGCUUUUUGCCUACCCCAGGCUCCAUCUUGGUACCAAGUACUCAACCUUCUGUUUUCUCAAUAAAGUGAGCCCUCUUCUCGGUGUCUGCAUCUCUGGCUGUUUUGUUUGCUUACCUCUGCCAGGUUCCCUUGUAAGGGGCCCCCAGUCUGGGGGAUCACAUAAGCCUAUGGGGAAGUCUGGCUCUGCCCUGAG